rnacentral:rRNA from 1 species
UCGAGAAUCUUUCGCAAUGGGGGAAACCCUGACGACGCGACGCCGCGUGGAGGAUGAAGGCCUUCGGGUUGUAAACUCCUGUCAGCAGGGGCGAAUAAGCUGUCGGUGAAUAAUCGACGGCCUUGACAGUACCUGCAGAGGAAGCCACGGCUAACUCUGUGCCAGCAGCCGCGGUAAUACAGAGGUGGCAAGCGUUGUUCGGAUUUAUUGGGCGUAAAGGGUCCGUAGGCGGCCUGAAAAGUUGGAUGUGAAAUCCCACAGCUCAACUGUGGAACUGCAUUCAAAACUUUCAGGCUCGAGUGUGAUAGGGGUAAAGGGAAUUCCCGGUGUAAGGGUGAAAUCUGCAGAGAUCGGGAGGAACACCAGUCGCGAAGGCGCUUUACUGGAUCACUACUGACGCUGAGGGACGAAAGCCAGGGGAGCAAACG